CAUAACAACAAAAGCCACAUGGCUUUUGUUUGAAAGAUGGCUUUGGCUAUCACUCUGGGAUGGACCUGCGGUGCAUUAGCUAGUUGGUAAGGUAACGGCUUACCAAGGCGAUGAUGCAUAGCCGAGUUGAGAGACUGAUCGGCCACAAUGGAACUGAGACACGGUCCAUACUCCUACGGGAGGCAGCAGUAGGGAAUCUUCCACAAUGGGCGCAAGCCUGAUGGAGCAACACCGCGUGAGUGAAGAAGGGUUUCGGCUCGUAAAGCUCUGUUGUUGGAGAAGAACGUGCGUGAGAGUAACUGUUCACGCAGUGACGGUAUCCAACCAGAAAGUCACGGCUAACUACGUGCCAGCAGCCGCGGUAAUACGUAGGUGGCAAGCGUUAUCCGGAUUUAUUGGGCGUAAAGCGAGCGCAGGCGGUUGCUUAGGUCUGAUGUGAAAGCCUUCGGCUUAACCGAAGAAGUGCAUCGGAAACCGGGCGACUUGAGUGCAGAAGAGGACAGUGGAACUCCAUGUGUAGCGGUGGAAUGCGUAGAUAUAUGGAAGAACACCAGUGGCGAAGGCGGCUGUCUGGUCUGCAACUGAUGCUGAGGCUCGAAAGCAUGGGUAGCGAACAGGAUUAGAUACCCUGGUAGUCCAUGCCGUAAACGAUGAGUGCUAGGUGUUGGAGGGUUUCCGCCCUUCAGUGCCGGAGCUAACGCAUUAAGCACUCCGCCUGGGGAGUACGACCGCAAGGUUGAAACUCAAAGGAAUUGACGG
rnacentral:rRNA from 1 species